rnacentral:rRNA from 3 species
ACUAAGCGUACACGGUGGAUGCCCUGGCAGUCAGAGGCGAUGAAGGACGUGCUAAUCUGCGAUAAGCGUCGGUGAGGUGAUAUGAACCGUUAUAACCGGCGAUUUCCGAAUGGGGAAACCCAGUGUGUUUCGACACACUAUCAUUAACUGAAUCCAUAGGUUAAUGAGGCGAACCGGGGGAACUGAAACAUCUAAGUACCCCGAGGAAAAGAAAUCAACCGAGAUUCCCCCAGUAGCGGCGAGCGAACGGGGAGGAGCCCAGAGCCUGAAUCAGUGUGUGUGUUAGUGGAAGCGUCUGGAAAGGCGCGCGAUACAGGGUGACAGCCCCGUACACAAAAAUGCACAUAUUGUGAGCUCGAUGAGUAGGGCGGGACACGUGGUAUCCUGUCUGAAUAUGGGGGGACCAUCCUCCAAGGCUAAAUACUCCUGACUGACCGAUAGUGAACCAGUACCGUGAGGGAAAGGCGAAAAGAACCCCGGCGAGGGGAGUGAAAAAGAACCUGAAACCGUGUACGUACAAGCAGUGGGAGCCUCUUUAUGGGGUGACUGCGUACCUUUUGUAUAAUGGGUCAGCGACUUAUAUUCUGUAGCAAGGUUAACCGAAUAGGGGAGCCGAAGGGAAACCGAGUCUUAACUGGGCGUUAAGUUGCAGGGUAUAGACCCGAAACCCGGUGAUCUAGCCAUGGGCAGGUUGAAGGUUGGGUAACACUAACUGGAGGACCGAACCGACUAAUGUUGAAAAAUUAGCGGAUGACUUGUGGCUGGGGGUGAAAGGCCAAUCAAACCGGGAGAUAGCUGGUUCUCCCCGAAAGCUAUUUAGGUAGCGCCUCGUGAAUUCAUCUCCGGGGGUAGAGCACUGUUUCGGCAAGGGGGUCAUCCCGACUUACCAACCCGAUGCAAACUGCGAAUACCGGAGAAUGUUAUCACGGGAGACACACGGCGGGUGCUAACGUCCGUCGUGAAGAGGGAAACAACCCAGACCGCCAGCUAAGGUCCCAAAGUCAUGGUUAAGUGGGAAACGAUGUGGGAAGGCCCAGACAGCCAGGAUGUUGGCUUAGAAGCAGCCAUCAUUUAAAGAAAGCGUAAUAGCUCACUGGUCGAGUCGGCCUGCGCGGAAGAUGUAACGGGGCUAAACCAUGCACCGAAGCUGCGGCAGCGACACUAUGUGUUGUUGGGUAGGGGAGCGUUCUGUAAGCCUGUGAAGGUGGCCUGUGAGGGUUGCUGGAGGUAUCAGAAGUGCGAAUGCUGACAUAAGUAACGAUAAAGCGGGUGAAAAGCCCGCUCGCCGGAAGACCAAGGGUUCCUGUCCAACGUUAAUCGGGGCAGGGUGAGUCGACCCCUAAGGCGAGGCCGAAAGGCGUAGUCGAUGGGAAACAGGUUAAUAUUCCUGUACUUGGUGUUACUGCGAAGGGGGGACGGAGAAGGCUAUGUUGGCCGGGCGACGGUUGUCCCGGUUUAAGCGUGUAGGCUGGUUUUCCAGGCAAAUCCGGAAAACCAAGGCUGAGGCGUGAUGACGAGGCACUACGGUGCUGAAGCGACAAAUGCCCUGCUUCCAGGAAAAGCCUCUAAGCAUCAGGUAACAUCAAAUCGUACCCCAAACCGACACAGGUGGUCAGGUAGAGAAUACCAAGGCGCUUGAGAGAACUCGGGUGAAGGAACUAGGCAAAAUGGUGCCGUAACUUCGGGAGAAGGCACGCUGAUAUGUAGGUGAAGCGACUUGCUCGUGGAGCUGAAAUCAGUCGAAGAUACCAGCUGGCUGCAACUGUUUAUUAAAAACACAGCACUGUGCAAACACGAAAGUGGACGUAUACGGUGUGACGCCUGCCCGGUGCCGGAAGGUUAAUUGAUGGGGUUAGCGGUAACGCGAAGCUCUUGAUCGAAGCCCCGGUAAACGGCGGCCGUAACUAUAACGGUCCUAAGGUAGCGAAAUUCCUUGUCGGGUAAGUUCCGACCUGCACGAAUGGCGUAAUGAUGGCCAGGCUGUCUCCACCCGAGACUCAGUGAAAUUGAACUCGCUGUGAAGAUGCAGUGUACCCGCGGCAAGACGGAAAGACCCCGUGAACCUUUACUAUAGCUUGACACUGAACAUUGAGCCUUGAUGUGUAGGAUAGGUGGGAGGCUUUGAAGUGUGGACGCCAGUCUGCAUGGAGCCGACCUUGAAAUACCACCCUUUAAUGUUUGAUGUUCUAACGUUGGCCCGUAAUCCGGGUUGCGGACAGUGUCUGGUGGGUAGUUUGACUGGGGCGGUCUCCUCCUAAAGAGUAACGGAGGAGCACGAAGGUUGGCUAAUCCUGGUCGGACAUCAGGAGGUUAGUGCAAUGGCAUAAGCCAGCUUGACUGCGAGCGUGACGGCGCGAGCAGGUGCGAAAGCAGGUCAUAGUGAUCCGGUGGUUCUGAAUGGAAGGGCCAUCGCUCAACGGAUAAAAGGUACUCCGGGGAUAACAGGCUGAUACCGCCCAAGAGUUCAUAUCGACGGCGGUGUUUGGCACCUCGAUGUCGGCUCAUCACAUCCUGGGGCUGAAGUAGGUCCCAAGGGUAUGGCUGUUCGCCAUUUAAAGUGGUACGCGAGCUGGGUUUAGAACGUCGUGAGACAGUUCGGUCCCUAUCUGCCGUGGGCGCUGGAGAACUGAGGGGGGCUGCUCCUAGUACGAGAGGACCGGAGUGGACGCAUCACUGGUGUUCGGGUUGUCAUGCCAAUGGCACUGCCCGGUAGCUAAAUGCGGAAGAGAUAAGUGCUGAAAGCAUCUAAGCACGAAACUUGCCCCGAGAUGAGUUCUCCCUGACUCCUUGAGAGUCCUGAAGGAACGUUGAAGACGACGACGUUGAUAGGCCGGGUGUGUAAGCGCAGCGAUGCGUUGAGCUAACCGGUACUAAUGAACCGUGAGGCUUAACC